AGCAGCCGCGGUAAUUCCAGCUCCAAUAGCGUAUAUUAAAGUUGUUGCAGUUAAAAAGCUCGUAGUUGAAUUUCGGGAUCAAUUUGCCGGUCGAGACCUCUGGUACGUACUUGUAUUAUUGAUUUCUUUCAUUCUGAUAAAUCAUUGAUGUCAUUAAUUUGAUGACUUUGAGGAAUCGGAACUUUUACUUUGAAAAAAUUAGAGUGUUUAAAGCAGGCUUAUUAGGCUUGAAUACAUUAGCAUGGAAUAAUGAAAUAGGACGAUUGAUCCUAUUUUUGUUGGUUUCUAGGAUUGACGUAAUGAUUAAUAGGGAUAGUUGGGGGCAUUAGUAUUCAAUUGUCAGAGGUGAAAUUCUUGGAUUUAUUGAAGACUAACUACUGCGAAAGCAUUUGCCAAGGAUGUUUUCAUUAAUCAAGAACGAAAGUUAGGGGAUCGAAGACGGUCAGAUACCGUCGUAGUCUUAACCAUAAACUAUGCCGACUAGGGAUUCGGGAAUUGAUGUUAAUUCUUUUUAAAUGUA
rnacentral:rRNA from 1 species